ACUUAGCCGUAGUUAACUCUGCGCCUCAAAGCAGCCCGUAAGGGUGAGUGGUUGCCGGCCUUAAAUGCUAGUCGUGCGGGCGUCUCUUUCGACACCACACGGCGACACCCUCAAAUUGCGGGAAAGCCCUAAAGUUCUACCUACUAAGCCAUAGUUUCGAAAGACUAUGGUGGCCCGGUUAAUGGCCUGGGGUAUAGUAAUAACGGUAGAAAUGUUGACAAUGGGUGAUCCGCAGCCAAGCUCCGUCACCUCUUCGGAGGUCGGAGAAGGUUCAGAGACUAAAUGGGGGUGGGUAAGAGACCAUGUCUUGCUUAAGAUAUAGUCCAAUCCCCGGGGAAACUCGGGG
rnacentral:ncRNA from 1 species